UUCUAUUAAUAAAGAAAUCUAUGUCACAGCAUAGUUAAUAAUAUGGUAUUGUUUAUUUGAAAGUUGCUAAGACAGCGGAUCUUAAAAGUACUCAGCAAGAAAAAACAAUUUCUGUGUCCUGAAGGAUGUUAACUAGACGUAUUGUGAUCAUUUCGCCUGUGUACAAAAAUACUGAAUCAUUAUAGUGUACACCUGAAACUAAAUAAAUUCUAUGUUAAUUCUAUCUCAAUAAAAAAAUUAACCUAUGUCGAACAGAAUUAAAAUGCAAAUUGGAAAUAACUGUUUCAAUUUAAGGUUGAAAAUUUAAUCCUGGUAAAGGCCAAAUCAGUAAAAGGGGUUCCUAAGUUCUGGUGUCUCCUAAGUGUUUUGGCGUGAAGGGAAGGGCGGGGCGGAGGGCAGACACCCGUGCUGCCGCCCUGAGGUCACCCCAAGCGAGAGGGAAGCCCUGGAGGCUUUGGCAAGCCAGGGUCCCCACUGGGGCCUGUCCAAUUCAGGGGGCGGGAAGGAGCGCCGAUGGGCCGGACACCCCCUUUCUUCUUUACACCUUGACUUCACACCAUCACCGCAUACAACUUGCCGCCCUUUUGCCCGUGCCUGGCACCUCCCCCGCGUGGAUGCCGAAGUACCCAGGGUGCCUAAGGCCGGGGAGGUGCCCGGAACAGCCGCAGCCUCUUCCAGGUCAGGGACCGAGGUCCUCUGACUUCAAUUGAAAAGACGAGAGGCACAACCAAUGGGGACUUGAAUCUGAGUCGUGGGAUUUGAAGGGUUUCACCAGAGCUUCCAACGAGGCUGGGGGGACCCUGCCCCGUUGCCCCUCAACCUUUUUUUAGAAAGAUUCCACAGAGCCGAUAUAGAUCCUAAGAAAAAGAAAACUACAGCCAGAGAGCUUUGGGGCCCCAGUACUUGUAUUAUUCACCGUGGAGGUCCACCACUUCGGGGGUGGGACCAGCGACCCGGAGCAGCCCAGGCGGAAAGGCCAGCUCGCUGAGGUGGAUGGAGCCCCGGGCCAAGACCCGGGCGGCGGGGGGCGGGGCGGAGCGGGCGCUGGGGCAGCGGAAUCGGCGGGGGGGAGGGGGCUUUCCCCUGCCCCGGAAGUACUGUGGCGUUACAGCCUUGCCUUCCGGGGCAGAGUGUCGAUCGUAGCCGCCCGAGGGAGGGACGCCAUUUUCCCUUUCUAGGAAGAGUGAGGGAGGGGAUGGGACUCCAAGGAGAGAAGAAAAGGCGCAGCGCCUCCCCGCGGGGCCGCGGACCGAGGGGCAGUCUCGGCCCGCGGUGGGGUCGCUGAGAGACCUGACGAGAUGUUUUCCCUUUCGAGCACGGGGCAACCGCAGCACCUUAAUAUGUCCUGGCCAUCUUGACAUGGAAGUUACAGUUCCAGGACACAAUGUGAAAGGUCGAACAGAAAUUUUGAAAUUUUAUCUCAGUAAAAUAAAGUUUGAUCAGUCUGUUGAUCCAGAAAUAAUAGCUCGAGGUAGUGUUGGCUUUUCUGGCGUAGCGUUGGAGAGUCUUGUGAACCAGGCUGCAUUAAAGGCGGCUGUUGGUAGAGAAGCAAUGGUCACCAUGACGGGGCUGGAGCUUUCCAAAGGUAAAAUCCUAAUGGGGCCUGAGGAUAGAAGCGUGGAAAUCGAUGACAAAAAUCAAACCAUCACAGCAUAUCAUGAAUCUGGGCCUGCUGUCACUGCAUAUUACACUAAAGCUGCCAGGCCUGUCGGCAAGGCCACGGGCACGCUGCAGGGCCAAUGCUGGCACAUGUGUCCCUGUUGCCUGAGGGUGACAGAUGGAAUGAAACUAGAGCUCAGCUCCUUGCACAAAUGGGUGUCAGUGUGGGAGGACGAGUGGCAGGGGAGCUGAUAUUUGGAACUGACCAUAUUACAACAGGUUGGCUAUCAAGCGUGGCUUUAGUUCAAAUUGUCUUUGCUGGCUUAAAGAUAUUUUAAAGAAUUGAGUUCUACAUUUACUUUAAAAGUUUAGGAGCCUCCAGUGAUUUUGAUAAUGCAACUAAAAUAUCAAAGUGGAUGGUUACCAAAUUUGGAAUGAGUGAAAAGGUAAACGGUGAUUUUAAUCCUCCUUCACGUACCAAAUGAUGUUGUGCCAAGUGUCUGUGAGAAAGGUUCUCAUUAGAAAUUGCUAACAUUUACUUUCUCCCUCUUAUUCCAAAUGGACUUGAGGCCGCUUAUUCUAAACUAAACAUUAUUUGCUGAACAUUUAAAAUGGUAGCAUUCUUUUUCUGUUGUAGCUGCUAAGACAGUAACAGGUCAUCACCUCUGAGGUAACUGAAUGACAGGACCAGCUGUUCAGCCUUUUCUAAUCAUGUGACGUGAAAGGCCUGCUUGCCGAGCCUGCCCACUUUGCCCCAUUCACCUGCUUCUCUUCCCACAUGAUGGCUCCGUGGAGAAACGGUAGCUCUGAAUGGUGCAUUUCUGGGCUUGGAAGAGCUGCCGGGGCUCUCAGACGGUCCUCAGGGCCAGACUUACGGUGCCAUAUUUUCUGUCUUGCUCACACUUUGUUUCAGUCUUUUCCUUUCAGAAGAAUGAUGAAAUUUCUUUGACCUCCAAAGCAAAAGGGAAUCCUGUAAAUUAUGGAAGAGAACGGAGCAGGGAGAGAGACCAAGCUGGUGCUGAGCUCCUGGAGGAGUGAGCCGAGGCAGUGAGGAGGCGAGCCCUCCCGGGGUUGGAGAUGCCUGCAGGAAAGUACAGGUCUGGGGGCUUCAUUAUGUCGCUUCUUCUUGUAGCGGCCGGCCUACGGCCGAGGCUGAGUCCCACUAUGGCUGAACACCGCCCUUCCACUGUAGCUGAACAAUGCCCUAAGAUGGUGACCGCUUCCUGGGCGCCACCCUUCCUGGUUUGGUGGCAUUAGCAUAAGGAAGUUGCUCCUAUAGGCUUGCCCCAUGCUUCCGCGCUCGUGCUCAACUCAUGCAGAAGGCAUGCUAACAAUCAGCUUAAAGGUCACGCAUGAUCUUGAUCACCAUAGGCCAGCUUCCUUUAUAUAAGGCAUAAGCAGGAAAGAGAAGCUCUCUCUCUCUCUCUCUCGCGCGCUCUCACUCUCGCUCUCGCUCGCUCUCGCUCUCUCUCGCUCGCUCUCUCCUCUCAUUCUUCCUCUCACUUGCUCCCUCCGGCUGUUGCUUCUUCUCACUCACCUUCUCCCGACCUUCCGAGCAACAAUAAAGAACUGAAGUGAACUAGGUCUGUGUACGUAUCGCUGUCGUCACCGCCACAAGGAGCGAACGCAAUAUCUUCUCUCAAGAGAAGGACUCAGAGGGACAGAGCGUGUGAGCACCUGUCCCCCCCCACCCCCACCACAGCAGGCACAGUGCUGGCAGCCCAUCCCUGAGGGUGUCCAGAUGGGCCCAUUUCACAGGUGAAGACUUGUGGCUCAGAGAGACCAAGGGGCUUGCAGAGCACCUGCCUUGGAGGUGGGAAUUGAGACAGCUGUCAGCUGUCAGGCCCUGGCCAGUGGGGGGGGCCCUGCUGCUGAGGUUCAGGGUUCAGCCGGGUGGCGGCUGCCUCGUACUACCUGGCGUCUCCCUCUUUCAGGACCACCUCUACUUAUGUGUCACCUCCCUGCCCCUCUGUCCUCUGGGUCACCCUCCCUCAGGCCAACCCCACGACCCUCAGCUUGAGGCUGACCUGCACGCCCAGCUUCUCCUCAAAGGAACCGCUCUGGACAAGAUGACUCUGACCUGUGAGAUGGAAGAUGUUGCCACACGGCUGAUGCUUAGUAAACACUUGCUGGUCAAAUGAAGUUGUAAAGGACACUGGCCCUCAACUGACAGAGCCGUAGAUCUAAGCGGUGUUCUGUAAUUAGUCUAAUUGUGGUAACAGGUGAUCUCCAAAUUUAAGCUGCUUAACAUAAUAAAUGUUUUCAUUCACAUUAAGUCUGACGGGCUGAUUGGGUGGGGAGUUCUGAUCACACAGCCGUUUGGUGACCCACACUCCUCAGUCCAGUGACUGUCCUUCCCUCUGAGUGCCAAAUCCUUGGUGUACAUGGUAAACAAGGGGAAAGGCCAUGCAGGAUCGUGUAGAAAGGUUUUAUGGGCCAGGCCAGCCCUGGAGGUCGUACUUCAUUGCUACCAACCUCUUGACACUCACAGCAGGGGAGGCAGGGUUUGCAUCUUGCUGGGGACCAAGGAAGUGGGAAACCCUUUGAUUAGUACCAGUUUCUUCCUCAAUUCACCUGCUACCACAACUCAGAGAAGAUGGCUUUGCCCAGGAGGGUGUCUUCUUGAGAGAAGCCCCCUGAGCGCUCAGUGAAGCUCCCCUGAAGUUAUCCUUACACUGAGUCACUCAUCAUUGGUUCAUUUGUGCACUGAUCACCAGUGCAUAUAUAUUAAGAAAAUAUUUUAUUAGAUUAAAUUUCACAAGUAUUUCUGACUUCAUGCUGGUUCAGAAAGUAAAAGAAGAAAGUAUCAACAAACUUAGGAAGUGGGUGAAUUUUCUUUUCUUAAUGUUUUCAUUAGCAAUUUCCUACAUAAGCUUCUGGGGAGCGCUAUUUGAAAGAAAAUAAAAAAUUACAAGACAUUACAUGUGCCAGUGUUGGCUCCGCAGCGUGACUGUGGCUUUGCUGACAGGCCUGGCAGCUCUGGUGUAAUAUGCAGUGAUAGCAUGCCCAGAUUCAUGAUAUUUGUUUCCUUAUGUAUAAGAUAGUACUUCCUUUGUUACAUUUAUUAGUGAUUUUGGAUUUUUCAGUUAAGCUUCUUUGUUCCCACUUGUUUUAGCUUGGAGUUAGGACCUACUGUGAUACAGGGAAACUGAGUCCAGAAACUCAAUCUGCUAUUGAAUAAGAAAUCAGAAUCCUUCUAAGGGCUGUGCAAUGCCAUCAAGAGGACUGCGCACGUAUUCUUUUAGACUAUGGUGCGGAUCCCAAUGUGAGUGACGUCUAUGGCAACACCGCCCUCCACUAUGCAGCUUGUGGUGAGCAUGUAACAACAGCGGCACGGCUCCUUGAGCACACCGCAGACAUCGAGGCAAGCAACAAGGUAUGCAUCCACCAGCUUUAUUUACAAAUAUUUGAAUAACAUGUUUUUAAUUUCUUUAGGAGCCACAGAUGUGUAAAAUUCUUUUAUAUACACAUCUGUAUGUGUAUAUGUAGACACUGCAAAAGUUUAGAAAAUUUUAAUAUACAUAUAUGUAUACUGCAUACUGUACAUCGGGCCCUGUCAUGGUGGAAACACCUCCAAAGCCAAGUCAGGGAGGGCGAGAGAAAGGCUGCCCACACAGAGGGCAGAACAGUCUCCUGGCCCCCCUUUUCCCCAGGAGGAGGACCUUCCCUUGAGUGCCUGGAAGGGGGUGAUAGGCUCAGAGCCCACAAAGGACUGGAGGCUGAGGGGGUGUGAGGAGAUGGUGGAGGCUGGCUUCUCAGCAGAGCCUUAGGAAAUGGGUGCUGCUGGGGAUGGGUGGGAGGAGAGGUGGAGAACUGGUACCAGGCCAGAGGAGCUGGGUUGAGUGCAUGUGGGAUGCGGAAGUGGCAGACCCCAGGGCUCUGAAGAUCCGGGUGAGGGGUUUGGGUCCUGUCCUGACAUCAGCAGGGCCAUUCCCUUGUGCUGGCAGCUGCUCUGCCAGCCAUGUACCACCUUAGGGUUUCUCACAUCAGAGAGCAGCUCCUGCUCAGCCUCAUGCAGCUCCUUGCCGGCUUGUCGCUGGGUGUGGGGAGCGGGUGAUGGUGAAGCUCCUCGGCCUGCUUUCUCUUCUGGCCGUGCAUUACUUCCCAUGCUGCAGCCCCGACAGGUUAAUAUAGUUAGGGUCAAUUUUACAUAUUUGGAAAAUCAAGCAUUUCCUGACUGAAAAUAUUUUGAAAUAACUAUCUUAAGAUUUCACUUAAAAUAAUGGCUCUUCUACUGACGAAAAUUAGGCUUGGGGUGGAUUAAUGAUUGUGCAUUGAGUAUUGACCCCCCAUACAGAAAUUUAUUGUGGUUAACAACUAUUUGAUCA